rnacentral:misc_RNA from 1 species
GAUGAAGAACGCAGCGAAAUGCGAUAAGUAAUGUGAAAUGCAGAAUUCAGUGAAUCAUCGAAUCUUUGAACGCACAUUGCGCCCGCCAGUAUUCUGGCGGGCAUGCCUGUUCGAGCGUCAUUUCAACCAUCAAGCCCCCGGGCUUGUGUUGGGGACCUGCGGCUGCCGCAGGCCCUGAAAAGCAGUGGCGGGCUCGCUGUCACACCGAGCGUAGUAGAUUUUAUCUCGCUCUGGGCGUGCUGCGGGUUCCGGCCGUUAAACCACCCUUUUAACCCAAGGUUGACCUCGGAUCAGGUAGGAAGACCCGCUGAACUUAAGCAUAUCAAUAAGCGGAGGA